UGUCACCCAAACAUUCUUACUGUCCCACGGCGUUAAACGAUGUGGAUCAAACACCGGUGUCACUGUCAUGCUGCUUACUACAGUCAGUGUGUUCCAUAUCAAUCUCAGCAUAAGGUUUCAAACUUAUGGGUAGAUCAUGAAUG